UGGGGAAUAUUGCACAAUGGGCGCAAGCCUGAUGCAGCAACGCCGCGUGAGGGACGACGGCCUUCGGGUUGUAAACCUCUUUUAGCAGGGAAGAAGCGAAAGUGACGGUACCUGCAGAAAAAGCGCCGGCUAACUACGUGCCAGCAGCCGCGGUAAUACGUAGGGCGCAAGCGUUAUCCGGAAUUAUUGGGCGUAAAGAGCUCGUAGGCGGUUUGUCGCGUCUGCUGUGAAAUCCGGAGGCUCAACCUCCGGCCUGCAGUGGGUACGGGCAGACUAGAGUGCGGUAGGGGAGAUUGGAAUUCCUGGUGUAACGGUGGAAUGCGCAGAUAUCAGGAGGAACACCGAUGGCGAAGGCAGAUCUCUGGGCCGUAACUGACGCUGAGGAGCGAAAGGGUGGGGAGCAAACAGG
rnacentral:rRNA from 1 species